CGACCCCGCCCCCUCUGCUGGCCCCGCCCCCUCCGCCGGAGGCUCCGCCCCCUUCCGGCCCUGCCGGUCCGCGCUGGGCACAGACUCGGAGGAGGAGGAGGAGGAGGAGGAUGAAGGCCCCGGGGGGUCCCCGCAGGAUUUUGGGGACGUUGGGGACGUUGGGGACCCCCCCGGGCCCCCCCAGAGCGGCGGCGCCUUCCUGGUCACCGUGCCCUGGGGACGCGUGACGGCCGAGUGUCCCCCUGAGGGGGGGCUCCCGGGGUCGCGGCUGGAGCUGGAGCUGGGGGAGGGGCGGCUCUGUGUCCUCCCCCGCCCGGGGGGGGCGCGGGGCCUGACCCGGGCGAGCGCCGAGCUGGGGACCCUCGA